UAGGGAAUCUUCCACGAUGGACGAAAGUCUGAUGGAGCAACGCCGCGUGAGUGAAGAAGGGUUUCGGCUCGUAAAACUCUGUUGUUAAAGAAGAACAUAUCUGAGAGUAACUGUUCAGGUAUUGACGGUAUUUAACCAGAAAGCCACGGCUAACUACGUGCCAC
rnacentral:rRNA from 1 species